rnacentral:rRNA from 1 species
AGUGAACGCUGGCGGUAGGCCUAACACAUGCAAGUCGAACGGCAGCACAGUAAGAGCUUGCUCUUACGGGUGGCGAGUGGCGGACGGGUGAGGAAUACAUCGGAAUCUACUUUUUCGUGGGGGAUAACGUAGGGAAACUUACGCUAAUACCGCAUACGACCUACGGGUGAAAGCAGGGGAUCUUCGGACCUUGCGCGAUUGAAUGAGCCGAUGUCGGAUUAGCUAGUUGGCGGGGUAAAGGCCCACCAAGGCGACGAUCCGUAGCUGGUCUGAGAGGAUGACCAGCCACACUGGAACUGAGACACGGUCCAGACUCCUACGGGAGGCAGCAGUGGGGAAUAUUGGACAAGGGGCGCAAGCCUGAUCCAGCCAUACCGCGUGGGUGAGGAAGGCCUUCGGGUUGUAAAGCCCUUUUGUUGGGAAAGAAAAGCAGCAGGUUAAUACCCCGCUGUUCUGACGGUACCCAAAGAAUAAGCACCGGCUAACUUCGUG